CAGUCGCCACGGUAAUACGGAGGAUCCAAGCGUUAUCCGGAAUCAUUGGGUUUAAAGGGUCCGUAGUCGGUCUUGUAAGUCAGUGGUGAAAGCCCAUCGCUCAACGGUGGAACGGCCAUUGAUACUGCAGGACUUGAAUUAUUGGGAAGUAACUAGAAUAUGUAGUGUAGCGGUGAAAUGCUUAGAGAUUACAUGGAAUACCAAUUGCGAAGGCAGGUUACUACCAAUUGAUUGACGCUGAUGGACGAAAGCGUGGGUAGCGAACAGGAUUAGAUACCCCUGUAGUCCCUGUCUCUUAUAU
rnacentral:rRNA from 1 species